rnacentral:rRNA from 1 species
AUUGAACGCUGGCGGCAGGCCUAACACAUGCAAGUCGAACGAGUGGCGGACGGGUGAGUAAUGUCUGGGAAACUGCCUGAUGGAGGGGGAUAACUACUGGAAACGGUAGCUAAUACCGCAUACCAUCGGAUGUGCCCCGAUGGGAUGAGCUAGCAGGUGGGGUAAAGGCGCACCAAGGCGACGAUCCCUAGCUGGUCUGAGAGGAUGACGCGCCACACGGGAAUUGAGACACGUUCCAGACUCCUACGGGAGUGAGCAGUGGGGAAUAUUGUACAAUGGGCGCAAGCCUGAUGCAGCCAUGCCGCGUGUAUGAAGAAGGCCUUCGGGUUGUAAAGUACGUUCAGCGGGGAGGCGUUACCCGCAGAAGAAGCACCGGCUAACUCCGUGCCAGCAGCCGCGGUAAUUC